CAUAGAGAUACUGUCUAAAGACUUUCUAGAAGCAGUAGAAGGGUAUAACAGAUUUAAAAGAAAUGCUAAUCAAUCACAGACUGAUGAUGAACUGUGUCCACCAACAAGUAAAAAGAAUAAACAUAAACCAUAAACUAAUAUCUUGCUAAAAGAUAUGAUGCAUGCACCCUUUUUAUCAUUUUUGAUUUCUGAUUCAUGAUAAUUAAAGUCAAACUUUUGCCACCUUUUAUAA
rnacentral:misc_RNA from 1 species